AUGCCUGCUUUCUUGCUCUGUGUUUGUUUGCCUAAAAAGGCCACUCAUGUGACUAACCCAGGGCAAAAGAAGGCUCACCUCUCCUGGACAAAUUAUUUGAAAACUAUUCAUCCAUGCACACCCAUUUUUAAAAUCCUGGACAAAACUUUUUUGGCCAGCUUCUGUUUUAAGGAGAAGGGAGCUGGUGCCAGAAAGAAGUUGAAAAUGUCACUCUCUCUGCCUUGUGGAAUUGGGACAAGUAUUGUUCUGGGAAGAAGUGAGAAAAAGGUGGAUUGA
rnacentral:lncRNA from 1 species